AUUGAACGCUGGCGGCAGGCCUAACACAUGCAAGUCGAACGAGUGGCGGACGGGUGAGUAAUGUCUGGGAAACUGCCCGAUGGAGGGGGAUAACUACUGGAAACGGUAGCUAAUACCGCCUACCAUCCGAUUUGCCCAGAUGGGAUUGGCUAGUAGGUGGGGUAACGGCUCACCUGGGCGACGAUCCCUAGCUGGUCUGAGAGGAGGACCAGCCAAACUGGAACUGAGACACGGUCCAGACUCCUACGGGAGGCAGCAGUGGGGAAUAUUGCACAAGGGGCGCAAGCCUGAGGCAGCCAUGCCGCGUGUAUGAAGAAGGCCUUCGGGUUGUAAAGUACUUUCAGCGGGGAGGCGGUACCCGCAGAAGAAGCACCGGCUAACUCCGUGCCAGCAGCCGCGGUAAUUC
rnacentral:rRNA from 1 species